UUCAACAACGACAGGCACAUCUAAGCGGACCACUCGAAUUUCAAUUUGAGGGCCGACGAAGAGAACGGACGGCGUGAAAAGGACGAAACAUCUCUCCUCCCUUACUGAACGCAGAAUGGUUUAAAAAACCGUUUUAAUCCUUUUUUUUAAAAAAACAGCAAUGGUAAGAUUUUAUCUGACUUAAUUAUUCGCGUAAAAUGUGGAAGAGAAUUUGAUGAUGUAGAAGUACAUUAACAUAAGUUGUUGAGUCGAUCGUUGGAAAACCGACGAGGAGAUAGAAACACUCUUUGAAAUAAAGAACAGCAGAGAAGCAAAUUAAUACAGAAACUUGGUGUUCGUUUUUACAGACAUUACGUUCAAUUCAACUAUUUAUUAAAUUUAGCUGCACUAUUGUUCUUAGCAAAUACGGAGCGGACCGACUACAAAAACUUACGUUUUUCAUCACCUAAUAUUGUGCUCAGCUAUUUUUCAUUAAGUGUGGUGAAUGAGCGUAUAGAUUUCACUAAUGACUUUCUUGUGGAUGACAUUGACAUUGCUAGUUGGCUGUUUAAUUAAGAGAGCCCUUGCUUCGUUGCUUACAGAAACUAGAAAAGUCAUUGUGGUAACUAAUAGCUUAGAGAAAACAAGCAAAUAGUUCGUAGGCAUUAUUUCUUAACUCUGACAGUUGUUCUCUCAUUAAAAGUGAAUGUCGUGGAACAACGAGUUGUGAGUUCAUUUUAGCCGCACGCUGUGACUUAGAGUGCCCGUAGCAGAGUACAAUACAGUGCUUGAUAAUUGUAUUUACAUUCUAAACCUUGCAGUAAUUGUCGCCUGCCGCUGCCGGAAGUCGUCGCUGCGAUGCUCGACUGCGACUGGUCACGGCGACGCAGGUGCUCAGUUUCAGUAGCUGCCUGCACCUCGUCGCUCGGAGGGAGCCGACGAUAGGACCGAUCCUGCCGCUGCUGACCGUCAUCCGUCAUGGCUCGGCAGUGACAAGUCGAGGGAGGCGAGGCUACACCGUGCGCUACCGCUACUGGCGCUACUCUACGACGCGGUUUGGUCGUCGAUCCACGAAUAAAGUUUAUGACUUGCUCGAAAAAAUACAAUCAAAGUUGAUUCAUUUAGUAUCGGAUUUGUUCUGGACUAUCAAUUCAUAUAAACAGUUGAAUCUCAAUUGUAUUUUGUACUCAAAUGACUCCGGCAUGCCACGCCGCUCUGCGGACAGCGCUGUUGGUAGUAAGCACUGUAUACCAGCAUCACGUGAACAGUAAGCUCUACAUCCCCUCUGUACUAAUAAAUAUAGCUUACAGCUCAAAUGAUGUUAGCUUCAAACUCUUCUUCAUUAGUUAGUAACUCAAUACGUACGAUUCAACUAGAUGUUAAAUCAGUGGUCCAGUUCAAAAAGCUCGUUCAGCCCGCACCCGGCUCGCGAGACCUACCGAACUUCUGACGCGCUAAUUACACACAUUUCUUACGUCAUCCAUAAAAAUAAUGUACAUUUUCGGAUGAGGCUAAGCACAUAAAUCCACCUCGUUUCCAUUUACGAUUGUUUCAUUCGUGUUUCACGAUCAAGUUAUUACAUAAACACGUUAUAAAGUAGACCUGACGAGAGACGCGAGACCUGGACGAAUACUAACGCUAAUAAAACUAAUCAAUUCAUUCGAUCGACCGUCGCCUAAGUUCAAGAAAAUCGUUUAUUCACAGAAUAAAUAAAUAUUUGGAAUGUUAGAAACUUGAUAACAAAAAUAAUUCUCAUCCCUCUGAAUACAUUUCAAUGAAUACAAUGUGACUGAGAACUUCGAAAAUUGUAUUUGCUUGAUAAUUCGAAAACCACAAUUGUACACUGUUGAAUAAUGCAAUAUUGGAGACAUAACAAAUAGGGCCUUGCUUUUUUUUCUUCAUUGGGUACGAACAUACGGCCCACCUGAUGGAAAGUCGUAGAACGCACAAUGAAUUCUUGGAGAGAUAAUAAUAUGUCGAUCGAUAGAUGGGAACUAAUAGAUUGUUCUUUUGCUAUGUAACUUCAUGCUUCAAGGUGGCUGCUACUAUGAGUGCCCAUGGGCUUGUUUGUCUAUCCUCAUAAGAAAUAAGAGGUGACGGUGGUGAGCAUUUGCAAAUACAUUUACUUCUCCGUAUCCACGCGUGUGUUUAUAGUGUACCUACGCGUGGUCCGCAACUUAUAUCAAUGUAAACUCCUGUUAGUUCGAUGGAUUUGAUAUUUUAAACCAAAAUAUGUAGACCGGCGAGUACAUACUUGCCAGGUCACGGUGUAGUCGGUAGCCGUAGCGCGGCUAGAGCCGGCCGCGCCUCUGGUCGGAUGUACUGUAAUUAUAAUGACACAGUUAAUCGAAUAAAGCGGAUGUUAGAUAUUUUUACUUGGGGUGGUAAAAAGCGUGCAGCCCCUUUGAAAUGAAAGUUUUGAUACGAAAGUUUGUUACAAAAGCUCAAAGAUCAAAUACGGCCAUAAACCAACCGCUCUCCGCAACCGACACUCCCCCGUACUUUUACGGACCACGGGAGUUAAAAUAUUAAGGUUAACAUUAAUUAACUACAUUAAUAGUGCUACGGUGAUCCGUUCGCUGUUUCGCUUCGAGCAGUUCCGAUUUCUAACCGACUCGUGCCACCUCUGUAACACUUUUUUAGUAGAUACGACAUCCCUAGAUGGAUCGAGAACAUUCUGGGCUAGUCGAGUAGUUUCAAAGUGUGUUUCUGCUCUCUGACGAUAGAUGGUGUACAUCGGUACAUCUCGAGCUUUCUCGGCGUUACUAGUUCCUUUGAUAUUCGUUUCGGCUAUUCGACUAUGCGGCGAUAGAUGGCGUUACUGUUACCGGCGUAACAACAGCGUGUACCAGAAAGCUUUUAUCCAAAAUUAUUUAUAGUUCUUGAGCAUUUGUGAGAUUAUUAAACUCAAUCAAUAUUAAUCCAUACUAUACUAAUAUCAACAUAUAAUAAUAUAUAUAAUAAAUAUAUAAUGUCCAUCUUUCACCUCGAAACGAAUCAAUGGACUGACCCGUUUAUAAUAUGUGGCGGGCAGCCAUCAUACAAUGCAAGAUAUUUGACAGAUGCCUGAAUCUCGCUAACGACAUCUUCAAGAUAAGCUCGCAUAUAUACAAGUUCCGAACAACAACAUUCGGACCGUCGGUCUACCGAGCAAUAUCUCACGCUCGGUGGAAGAUCUUCUCUUUGUCGUAUACCUCCAAAAUUAUAUUUAUUAUAUGACUCAAGAAUGAUAUUGUCAACGUUUACCCUGAAAAAAAAAAUUAAUUCCUGCAGGAAACUGUGUUUUUUUAUUAACUUUAGAAAAAAUACGAGAACACUUUUCGCUGAGCACGCAGGCGAAGCCGCGGGUAGCGCCCAGUUAUAAUAUAAAUUAAACAAUAUUGGAAACGAGCACAAUCAGCUCUCGAAACCAAUGAAGUCUUAAGGUCGGCAUUCAGUGGAACUACAUUAGGGACCGACCGACCUUCGGCCCUCUCAACUACAUAAAAGGUUUCCACGAUAUAAUUCAUCUAUAACUAUUCACUUAACGAUUGGAAACGGAAAAGUGAGUUAAUCUUGAGCAUAGUUGGUAUCUACGGAAUGUAGCCGUGCUAUUGAAUGUAGCAUGCUGUUAACUAGCAAUGUGAGAAAUUUCAAUAUAAUUACGACUUUGCCGAUCUCAUGAUCAAAGAAUUGCAAGUUUAGAUGACCUCUCAGCGUCAGCUGGACUGCAAGCUUAGUUACUCAUCUACACUAAUAAAAAACGCAACUAUGUUGUCUCAAGAGUACGACGUGCAAAUUAAGUUACAGACACAGCCCACUGAGUUUCUCGUCGGAAGUUCUCAGUGGGCGCCACCGAUCUGGUGCUAGAUUCAGCGAAGCACGGCUAUCACUAGAGUAGGUGUUAGCAAAUCUUCUCAGGUCAAGCCCCGUGGGCUCGCCCGCCAGUCGGGGUGACUCCAGAACAGACCCUCGAGGCUAGCGACAGUAAGGGCUACAUUAAAUAAUAAAACGUUUAAGUAAACUGUUCAAAUUAAAAAAUAAAAUGUGCUAUCAAAGUCUCGACAGAUAUAAACAUUGACACAAUUUAGAAAAUAUUCACAAAGAAUUCAAUUUGAGACGUCUUCAAGCCAACACAAACGCCUACAAUGUCAACUGGAAAGUGAGAUCCAGUUCAGAGUGUCGCUGCAUUUCACCGGAUUGAAUAAGAUACUAAUAUCUGUGGACCGGAUGUCCGGUGUCGGUGGAUGGCGGCAGCGGCCGAGAUGUCCACUUGUCACUGUAAGAACGAGGCUUACGUUGUGACGCGCCCGGAUAUUUUAUGGCUGAAAGAAUGCUGUCACUUUAUAAUAAAAGGUGAGUCGAAUUGUUUUUUAUCCCGAGAGAGAGGAGACUAAAGAAUAAUUAAUAAAUAAGUAGGUAAUCAGUAAUUGCUUCUUUCUCUGUGCACUAAUCUAUUUUAGAAUUUAAAAGGUUAAAGUUUUCUUUAGUGAAAGCUAUUUUUCAUUACCGAAAGUUUAUACGAAGUUCAUCAAAGACCGGCUAAGUUUGGUGAAAGCUGAAUUGAAAUAUAAGUUUAUUGAAAAUAUUGAAAACCGAUUUCAAUAGUAAAACACACACACAACACAAGCACAAACUAGCAGCUUCGGACCCGGACGAGUCGAAAGAGCUUAGUUUUCGUUGUUUUUGUAUAUUUUGAUUUAAAUGCCAAACUUCUUAAUUAAUGUCAUGAAAUCUCCAUAAUGACUUUCCAAAUUGGUUUAUAAAUAAAGUAGUAACAAAAAAAUAAAAACCACAACCAAAUUAAGAACCUCCCGUUUUUUAAAUCAGUUUUAAAAGUUAAAAAGUUUCAGUUACUUUAGGGGUCGUGACGCAGCGUGCCCGAGAUGAUGGCAGGCGCUCUUAUGUAUGAAAAAUUAUGAAGUUAAGGAAGCCACGCAAGCGAACAUAGGCAGGCCACUAUUGUUCUGUAAAUCAACGAACUGAUCAGACAGUAGAACUCACGUUCUGCCGCGUCCUAGUCGCAUGCGGUAUAACACGUCAUGCUGGUCCAGCGCUCACGGUGUGCCGCCUGUACACUCCGAUGACCAUUUAAAAUCGAGUGUGCCGUGAUACCGCUGCUCACCUGUGCGAAAACAAGAACUAAACACAAAUGAUGAGAUUUAGUUUGACGUAAACAAGAGCGGCCGCUGAGAAGAAUUCACUCCAUAAAACCGAACUAAUUGUGUUCUCAGACAGAGCCACAUAACUCGGAAUGAAAGACAUAAAGUGGCCAACCUAAUCUAGAUCUAGUUGAUUGGACGAUUUUAGUACAUAUUGAAGUAGUUCCCUCGUGGUAAUGUCGUAGCGGCGGGCACGGCACGAGCAGCGCUUUCCAACUAGUUGCAGUAUUGAGUGGCAAUGGGAGCCGCGCCAGGUAUUAGGGACCCGUGAGAAGCUGAGCUCAGUGCUCGGUGAGGGUGCUUCCAGACAGCGUUAGAAACAAAUAGUAGUCCAGAGCUGCACGGAGCGUCGCCGCGAGUCGUGCCAGAGUGUAAUUAUAAACGGUGACAUUGGCUGACGACCAACGCUCUUGAACUUUGUAGAAAUACUUGAAACUUUUAUUACUUUGUCUUAGAAUAGUAUCUAUCUGAUCGUUUCGUGGGUCUAGUUGUUGCACCGCUGAAGCGGUUCUAUUCCUGGUCGUAGUUUUCUCAUACGAGUCUGUACCUAUAUAUGUGUAUUUACAACACCCAGAUCAUACGAGAUAAUGGAAGUUGCUUGGGACUGCUGAACGAGAAAUGCUCAAGCGAGUAAGCUUAGUUAAGUAGACAUUUCUAUUUUCAAACUAUCACUCACAGCAGAGGGUGAGGAAGUAUAUCGAUAAGAGAGGUGUUUCAAAAGAACACUGAUGAGGCGCGGUCAGAGUUUCCACCUGCAGGCGUCGGUACUGUUCGUGUGUCGAUCUACACGGCUGAAAGCUCUACACGCCUUGAAAAAACCACUGUUAAGGUUCAUAUUUCCCAUCGAAAUGCCACCAAACUGAACAACAUUGCAAUAUUCAUAAAGUCUCAAAAUAAUCGAAGUAUGUCAACAGCUUGGCGGUGACAAACACAUUGCAGCCUCUUCGUCUACAGCCAAACGGCUAACCAUCAUGAACAAAUAACACAUACAAUAAGUUAUACCGUGUGUUUAUUGAGUACCGCACGUGGCUGCUCCGGCCGGCCUCAUCAUAAAGUGCCGAUAUCACACGAGGGGCUGAUGGAACACAGACGAGCGCCGGCGGUGCACCAAUAAACACUUUAUGUUGUCGUCAUGGACUUGCGAUAUCACGAUGACUAUUACACUCGCUCUGAGUUAUGGGGCAAAACGAUAUCACUUGGCUAAUCUCCGAUGAGAUAUUGUUGUAAUAAUGAAAAUUAUGAAUAAAUUUGAAAUUUCGGUUUCAGUUCGAUACUGAACAUGUACAGGAAAGUGUUCAGUUUUCUGGAGAGAGUUCCGCUCAGCCGCGUAGCCGGUGCGACCACCUGCUCGUGUUCACCGCGGAGCACAUUCUGUGUCGGCAAAGCGUUACUACAAAAUAAACUUCUCCGUGCCGACCGGUUCCGAGGGCGAGGGGCUCUUAAUGUCAAAUGAGAUUUGAACUCGUCUGCAUAUCAACGUCGUUAAAGAUGUAGUAUGUACGUAACGUCAAGUUAAAGUAUAUUUAAAGUAUCUACGUAAAGUGGGAGUUUUUAUUUUUUUACUGCUGUACUGUGCCGUGCUGUGCUUAGUAAUGAGGCAAUUAGUGCUCAUUAUCUAUAUAGGUAUGUAUAUACGUAAUCAAUGCAUAUUUUGUAAUUUUAAAUUCGUUUACUUCUCGCUUUGGUUGACAAAAAGCUAUUCAAAGCAUUUGUGUUGAAAUAACAAUGUAACCAUAACCCAGGUGAUGAGUCGGCGCCGCGGACGUGAGGCCCCCGACUGCUUCAGACAAUUAGAGACCGCAGGUACGACGCGAUACGAUACAAUCCAAUCCCGGUGCAAACAGUUUAAAGCCCUUCUUAAAUACGACAAGCACCUUCAAUCUUCAAAAAAAUGAUUAGUGAGAAACAUUGAAACAAUGUUUUCUGUUUUCGAAACUUCUAAGAGUGAUUUCCUCUUGAAGCAUGUUUUCUCUAACGAAAUCACGUACUUUGCGGAUGUUGAGAAUUUAAUUUGUGUUAAACACGAAUGAGAAUUGUUUUCUGCUGGUUGUGAUAUUUUCUUUGAAAGCGAGGCGGCUUGCCUCUGAUGGUUCAGUGGACGAAAUCAACUUACACAGAUGAGAUCACACGAGUUUUCUCAUUUUCUUUAAAACUCAAACGAAGGAUUUGCAUUCUUAGCUCAGCGGCAUCAUUAGUGCAUUCCAAGCUCAAAAUUUAUUAUAUUAAUCUCGUUAAUUCUGAAAGGCACAAAAGAUCGCGGGUUGCAUAUAAUUUUCUGCCCAACAAAAUUAAGUAAGAAUCUAUUUAAAGAUACCGAAGUACGGUGAUUACGGGACAUUUUUUUUUAUUGCUUAGAUGAGUGGACGAGCUCACAGCCCACCUGGUGUUAAGUGGUUACUGGAGCCCAUAGACAUCCACAUCUUAAAUGCACCACCCACCUCGAGAUAUAAGUUCUAAGGUCUCAAGUAUAGUUACAACGGCUGCCCCACCCUUCAAACCGAAACGCAUUGCUUCACGACAAAAAUAGGCAGGGUGGUGGUACCCACCCGCGUGGACUCACAAGAGGUCCUACCACCAACUUUUACAUGGAGUGUAAUAAAUAAGUAAAUAAAUAAUUUCAGAAGACGCAGUGUCCAUCGCGGCCGCCUGCUGUCGUCACGCUAUACAUCCGGUCCUCGUUGAGCAGACCAGACUUUCCUCUCUUUUCAAGAAAUCCACACAGUAUUUUUUUUUAGGAACGAGUAUAACCACUAAAAUUAGAGAGUCCCCAAGUUUUUGCAGAUAAAAUCGGAGUGUAAGACCCAUGAUCUAAGUUAGGAAGCACAUUACUCCGGAGAGUUGGUGGCUAAAUUGAAUUUUAUUCGUAAUUUAUGUUUUGGUGAAUGAAGCACAAUCGUCUCGUCGACUACUCGCAAAUCUGAUAAAGAACUCGGCCGCCCUUCAAUUUGUCAACAUCAGCUGUCAGCGAGCGCGGUGCGGUGCGGGGCGGCGCGGGGGGCGGGGGCUCGCAGUCGCACAAUCGACGCGACGCCUCCACGUAAACGCGUACAGAGUAACAGUUUCUAGAAUUCCUAGGCUGAUGACGUAGUAACGAUCCUAGUAGUACUACCUACUAGUAGUACUACUUGGGUUUUUAUAUUAUUAGUUCGCAGCAAAAAUCAGCAUGACAGUGCUACCUACAUACUUUUCUAUCUGUUUUUGUUUCUUCAAAUAUGUGACAUUAGAGAUUAUUCGUUAAGAAUAGAUUCCAGGUAAAGAGCCCGGUACGAUAAUUAGGUGAGCGCUAAAACCGCGUGUUGACACAACACAAAGGGCACUGAUUAAUAUAUUAGUUUAUCGGUUCAUUUUAACUACUUAGAUGAAUGUUAAUUUCAGUUUGACACGUUUAAUUGACUCUGUUGCCGCCAUCUCAGCAGGACAUUUUAAUUUUUUUUAACUGCAUAUGUGGGCAGAGUAGCAUACGGCCGACCUGUUGAUCAAUGGAUACCGUCGCUCAUGGACAUCAGCAAUGCCAGAGGCACAGCCAAGUGAUUGCCUAUCCUUGACUACUCUCCACAAAGUUACAUAAGCUUACAAAUCGUAGUAAUGCAUGUACGCACAAUUUUUUUGAGAUGAUUAGCUCUGAGCCUAGCAUUUAUGAAACAAAUGAAACCGCAUAUUACAAGAAAUUAUUGAGACAAUGAACAAUUGCAUGCAUAUAGAACUGGGGGCUCUGUGAGGUUAUCCCCUCGCGCGGUUUAUUAGAACAUUUUCUUCGAGCUGGUGCCAAAACUCGUUUGAGUUUUAAUGUUAUUUAUUGCAGCUGAAACAUGGCUUUUGUGGAGCAAGUGUCGCGACUAACCCCGACGAACUUUUAUUGAACACUUUUUAAUUCUUAAGUUUUAGUCUGAGUUAGUUUGUCAACCCUUAAACACUAAAUAUAUCAGGGACGUAGUUAGUAUCCUGUGUGCCAUAAGGUUGAAUGUAUUCUAACAUUAUUUCGUUCAAUCUACAAUACACACAACGUAGGUACAUUGGUUUAUAAUUUAUGCCGGGCUUUUAAAUUUCAUAAUCUCCAUAUUCUAUCUACAUAGUCCCUGAGCAAUGUGAAGGAUCGAACGAAUUACUUAUAAAGAUUUUCUUUUGUAGCUUCUGAACGCAGAGGGAACACGUCGAGAAGAGCUUGAACAAGAUGUCCAGACGCCUGCCUGGACGAUUGCCUUAAACCAGAAAGAUAUGAAACAAUUUUCAAAUUAUACGUAUUGUAUUCAUAGUUAUAUAGAUCAUAACAAGUCUGUACAUUUACUUCUCAUUUCACAUUUUAAUUAACUUAACGUCUCUCCACUCGAACCUUGAAGUAAUAAACUAAAGUACUUU